rnacentral:sRNA from 1 species
ACAUUGUUGUCGUUUA